GACAUGGUAGCGCAGUGGUUAAGUGUGCUUGACUUAGGAUUGAAAGGUCCUGAGUUUGAGUCCUUGCCACGGCU